GAAAUGCGAUAAGUAGUGUGAAUUGCAGAAUUCAGUGAAUCAUCGAAUCUUUGAACGCACAUUGCGCCCCUUGGUAUUCCAUGGGGCAUGCCUGUUCGAGCGUCAUUUGUACCUUCAAGCUAUGCUUGGUGUUGGGUGUUUGUCUUUGCUCUGCUUCGACUCGCCUUAAAUCCAUUGGCAGCUGAUAUAUUUGUUUUGGAGCGCAGCACAAUUUGCGAUCUUGAUAAUUGUAUCAUCUUCCAUACAAGACUAUUUUACACUUUUGACCUCGGAUCAGGUAGGGAUACCCGCUGAACUUAA
rnacentral:misc_RNA from 1 species